UUGGAGCCUUCUCUGGAAUUGUGUCUUUUUGCAUCUGUAAAGUCACACACGUGUGCCCUGGGGUCUGGAUGAGGCAGCGAGAUGAGAGUGGGCAUCCAUGAGUUCCCAGUUGUGUCCUGGCUGGGAGGCAAUCCCCCACAUAGUGAGAGGGGACAGGCCUCUAGAAAGCUGCGUUGGUGAAGGGCUUCCUUCCUGGAGUCAGCACCGUGCUGUGAGGGAAAGCAUGUAGAUUUAGGCACCAGAGACCAUGGUCCAGUUUCUGAGGCAUGCAUGUCUGGCUUUGUGAGCCAUCCUUCCUGGCGCUCUUUCUGUCCUUUUCUGCUCCCGUAUCUGAAAGUGACUGCAGGCUGCCUGUGGCUUGGUCAUUGGUAGUGCAGGGAGAGGAGUCACCAAGAGAAGUUCCCAUGUUUGAAGGGUCCAGCCAUCCUUUCCAAACCCUGGAGCUUUCCCACACUAGCUUUUUCCCCUUGCCCUUCCUUUCUGAGCUGGGGCCUCUGCUGGCCCCCAUGUGAGGUGGUAACUGGGCUAGCCCCCCGACCUGUGGGGGCUCAUUCUGUCUUUCCACGUUACGGAUUUUCUUGUCAGAAACAAGCCUACCUUUUAAUUUGGACUUCACACUGGAAUAAAUUCACAUAGCGCCCGAGGGCACACGUAAGAAUUGGAAAUCAUGGCUUCUGCUGUUUGAAUUUACAGGAGCCGAGGCCAGUCCGCAAGAACAUGUUAGUCAAGGCAGUGUGUGAAUUCAGCGCUCGUGUGUCUGUUGUCUUUGCUCCUUGACUGUCUCUUGAGCACAGCAUGCAUUGCUUCUCCAGGAGGUGUCAGGAACGUUAAAUAAAUGGAGAAAGAAAAACAAAGGUCAGCCUUCGGUCCGGAGGCUGUUGAAGUAAGUCCCAAGGCCGUGAGUCGUCGACCCUCGGGAUGACGUGGGAUGUGUGUUCGCUGAGACUUUUCUCCGAGGUUCUCUCGGUGCCAUUGGUAGUCACCAGAGGGGCAGAGAACGGAGAGGGAGUCCUCUAUGCGAAGCAUCCCCAGAGCACCCCGUGCCGUCCGCUCAGAGCACCUCGGAGCAGCUCUUGGCUCCGCGCGUGACAUCAGAGGGAAGGUGCUGGGGCUGCGGCCGGGUCCGCUCCGGCUGGCUCUGAGUCGGGACAGCCGUGCCCCGAGAAGCCGUAGACGGGAGGUCAGCCCCGCGUCCCUCUGCUGUGUCUGGAAUGACUUGAAUGAGCGAACGUUUUCCUCUCGCAUUCCAGCUGCUCAUCACUUUCCCCUCUGCCUACCCAUUCAAUAAACCUUACGGACUUGC